rnacentral:pre_miRNA from 1 species
AAAGUACUCCCUCCAUCCCAAAAUUCUUGUCUUAGAUUUGUCUAAAUACGGAUCUAUCAAGUCACAUUUUAGUAUUAGAUACAUCCGUAUCUAGACAAAUCUAAGAAAAUAAAUUUGGGACAGAGGGAGUAGUUG